rnacentral:rRNA from 1 species
UACAGAGGGUGCGAGCGUUGUCCGGAAUCACUGGGCGUAAAGGGCGCGUAGGCGGCCUGGCAAGUCGAUGGUGAAAGCUCAGGGCUCAACUCUGAGUCGGCCAUCGAUACUGCUAUGGCUCGAGUCUGGUAGAGGCAGAUGGAAUUCCACGUGUAGCGGUGAAAUGCGCAGAUAUCAGGAGGAACACCGAUUGCGAAGGCAGCUCGCUGGAACGUUACUGACGCUGAGACGCGAAAGCGUGGGGAGCAAACAGG